AACAUCUAUAGUUCCAUCAACGACAGCAACAACCCCUGCACCAACAUCCAAAUCAACUACAGGAACAUCUACAGUUCCUUCAACAACAGCAACAACCCCUGCACCAACAACUUCGAGAUCAACUGCAUCAACAUUGAUAUCAACUGCAUUAACUUCUACUCGAACACCAACACCUACUUCUCAAAUGACAACUCAAGUUAUAUCUACAACUCAACCAGCAAGCCAAUCAACAUCUUCAUCUCCAGAUGUUGUCCCACAAAAUAUGACAUCAUUUGCAUAUGCAACUUUCAAAUUGAGAUCCUCCGUUGAGCUUAGCAAUGAUGAAAUCAUUACUUAUAUUGAAAAGUUUGUCAAGCACUUACAAGCAAACGGGACCAUAAAGAUUACUGUGAAGAAAUCAAGAAAAUUGUUGGCCUA